rnacentral:rRNA from 1 species
GAUGAACGCUGGCGGCGUGCCUAAUACAUGCAAGUCGAGCGAACGGACGAGAAGCUUGCUCCUCUGAUGUUAGCGGCGGACGGGUGAGUAACACGUGGAUAACCUACCUAUAAGACUGGGAUAACUUCGGGAAACCGGAGCUAAUACCGGAUAAUAUUUUGAACCGCAUGGUUCAAUAGUGAAAGACGGUUUUGCUGUCACUUAUAGAUGGAUCCGCGCGGCAUUAGCUAGUUGGUAAGGUAACGGCUUACCAAGGCAACGAUGCAUAGCCGACCUGAGAGGGGAAUCGCCCACACUGGACCUAGGACACGUUCCAGCCCCCUACGGAGGGCAGCGGAGGGGAUUCUUCCGCAUGGGCCGAAGGCCUGACGGGGCAACGCGGCGGGGGUGAUGAAGGUCUUCGGUUGGUAAACCCCUGUUAUUGGGGAAGAAAAUAUUUGUAGUUACCUGGGCCCAUCUGGCGGGUACCAAACCAGAAGGCCCCGGCUACCUCCGU